UGCGCGCGCCCCUGGAGUAGAGACCCUGUACUGAUGUGUUGGUCGCCUUCUUUUUCCCCGACAUCACGCGUGCAAGUCUGAGAGCACCUUUCCUGCCUGGUGGGAAGGGGGAGCGUGGCGGGUGGCGCCCCUCUCUGACGUCAUGGAAGGAAUGGAAUGCAGGGAAAGGUGGGGGCUGGCCUGCCUCAAGAGCCUUUCCUGGGGGAAGAGAGUGACGCCCGCCUUUCACCGGAGCUCCGCGGAAGUUGAGGGCUGCUGGGAGGCAGCAGAGGCGCCUCGGAGGGCAGGUAGAAGGUCCGGCUUGGAACCGCUCUGGUAGCUCAAGAUGAAGGGCUCCGUGACAUGACCCGUGGUAUAUACUCUAGAAGUGAUCUACUGGAUUUAUAACUUAAUUCCUACUAAAUUUUGGAGGUAUUUGGGAGCCUGAAUGCUACAGACAAAAGAUAAGGAUGAAGUACUUUGGAUGAAGUAUUUUUUCUUCUGCUAUUCUAGCACUAUUUCUAUUUUAAACAAGUGUCUAGUAAGUCAGUAAAAAUGCUCUUCUAAAUUGGGUAAUGGCUUUUCUUAACCAGCUGCUGAAAUAAAAAUAACACACUAAUGCCACUGGAGGAAUUCUUUCUGUCAUAAUAAAGAAGCUUUAUAGUGAAAA